UACGAAGGGGGCUAGCGUUGUUCGGAAUUACUGGGCGUAAAGGGCGCGUAGGCGGCUUCGCUAGUCGGGCGUGAAAUGCCUGGGCUUAACCCGGGAAUUGCGUUCGAUACUUCGAGGCUAGAGUGUGGGAGAGGUUGGUGGAAUUCCCAGUGUAGAGGUGAAAUUCGUAGAUAUUGGGAAGAACACCGGUGGCGAAGGCGGCGACCUGGUCCGAUACUGACGCUGAGGCGCGACAGCGUGGGGAGCAAACAGG
rnacentral:rRNA from 1 species